GACGAACGCUGGCGGCGUGCUUAACACAUGCAAGUCGAACGCUGAAGCUCAGCUUUUGUUGGGUGGAUGAGUGGCGAACGGGUGAGUAACACGUGAGUAACCCGCCCCCUUCUUUGGGAUAACGCUCGGAAACGGGUGCUAAUACUGGAUAUUCACUGGUCUUCGCCUGGGGGCUGGUGGAAAGGGCUUUUCUGGUGGGGGAUGGGGUUGCGGCCUAUCGGCUUGUUGGUGGGGUGAUGGUCUACCGAGGCUUUGACGGGUAGCCGGCGUGAGAGGGUGACCGGGCACAGUGGGACGGGGAUGCGGCCCAGGGGAGUACGGGGGGGAGCAGUGGGGAAUAUUGGACAAUGGGCGAAAGCGUGAUGCAGCGACGGCGCUUGAGGGAUGGGGGCCGUCGGGUUGUGAACCUCGUGCGCUCAUGGUGAAGCCGCAACAAUGGUUGUGGUGAGGGUAGUGGGUAAAGAAGCGCCGGCUAACUACGUG
rnacentral:rRNA from 1 species